GUGUGUUCUUUUGCUUUAGCUUGCCUGCCAAAGCUCAGAGCCUGUCUCUGUCUGUCUUCUUUGUCAACACUUGUAUUUACAAUGUUUGACCAAGUAAAGUCUGCUUUGCAAGUUUCCAAGUAAUUGCAGAAAAUGCUAAUUAAUGGGUUUUGUCACGUUGAUACGGUUCAGUGUUAUCUGCAGGUGCAAAUUGUUGGGAGUCGUUGAUUUCAUCAAAACCUGAUACAGACGGAAAAGUGGUGCCAAAGAAUUACAUGUGGUGUUUACAGGCCUAUUUAACCCAUGAGUGAGAAUCACAGUUCUCACUAGCAGAAUAGGAGGUUGUGACAAGAGCAUGUGCUUUAAAGGGUAGCAGGUGACUGGACAGUGAUGACCAACGCUGGCAGCUGAAAUCGUUUAUCCCACACUGCCAUCUGUGGGCCAGUGAGUGAACACCAGCCCAAAAUUAAUAAAUAAAUAAAAACCGCCCCAACACCUCGCUUACAUAAGUGAUCUAUAAACCAACAGUGUGAGCGCCUGCCUUACAAUAAGCAAGCUGAGAUGAUGUAUGAUGUCUCAGUUGGGGGAUCCCGUAACACCAGCUCGACCCACUGCACUGAUUUACAUGUGACCCACAUCGAUGCUUCCAGCAGAUCGAGGAGGAGUGAAAAGAGAUGGAAGGAGGGAUACAGGGAGGCUGCCAUUUUAUGUAUCCUCCAAUCCCAUUCUGCCUCAAAACGAGCACACACAGAGUAAUUCUGCCUCAGAAGCAGUGAACCAAAUCCCAUCUGUUAAAGGAGGAUAAAUUCUGGCAGAGUGAAUUUAUCUGUGGCUGAGAUUUAUUUACUGGAAACAACUUUGGGUUUUCUUUCUCUAGCAGUCAGUCUCUGUCUUCCCUUUUCUCUAUUCCUUCCUGUUGUUUUUGCCUCAUGCUGUGCGAGUCGUCCCGCAGGUUCUGUGCUAGCUCGGUCAGGUCGAUGGACGCUAAUGAUGGGUGCUUUUAUAAAGGUGUCAGCUGCUUUCCUUCACUAGAGCAAGCAGUUCUAAUUUGAGGUAAUGGUUAUUGGUUCGGAUAUUGAUUUACUGAGCUGAUUAUUAGUGCGCCAUAUGAGGAUCAGCAGGGAAGGAGGAAGAGAAAGUGGAAAAGAUGAAAGGCAGGAUUGGAGGAGGAUGAAGGAAAGUGUGCAUUUUGACGUGGGUGGUGAGAUAAAGGGAUGAGUUAGAGCAAAUUCACUUUUGUUUCUCGGGGACACUAACAUGAAGACCACCUGCUGUGUCGGUGUCACUCUUUAUCGUUUCUGUCCUGUUGCUUUUGUUGUGAUCUGAUGCAACACAAACUGAAGUAUAGGAUUCAAUGUUAAUAUAUUGAAUAAAAAAAGUGCUAUGUUAAAAAAUAAUAAUUCAGAUGUUUGUCAACCAUAAAAUGCAUUUCACAUCAACAUUUCUGGAAUGCAGGUAUAUUAACAUUAGUGUUUUAACUGCCUGAUGUUCUUUAGAGCGAGUACAUUGCUCGCUCUAUAAUAAUAAGCAU